ACAAAAACAUGUCUCUUUGGUGUAUUUAUAUAAAGAGUUUAACCUGCCCGGUGAUUAUUAUUUAACGGCCGCAGUACUUUGACUGUGCGAAGGUAGCAUAAUUAUUUGCCUUAUAAUUGAAGGCUUGUAUGAAUGGUUUGACGAGAAUGAGUCUGUCUUAAUUUAAUUUUUUUGAAUUUAACCUUUAAGUGAAGAGGCUUUUAUUUAAUUGAUAGACAAGAAGACCCUGUCGAGCUUGAUUUUUUAUAUAUAAAUAUAUAUUUUUAUAUUAUUUAUAGAUUUUAGUUGGGGUGACUGAGGAAGUAUAUGAGUUUCCUUAUAAUUAUUUAAAUUUGUUGGUUUUGAUCCUUUUUAAUGAUUAGUAGAAUUAGUUACCGCAGGGAUAACAGCAUAAUCUUUUUUGAGAGUUCAUAUCGAAAAAUUGGUUUGUGACCUCGAUGUUGGAUUAAAAUUUCCUAAAGGUGCAGAAGUUUUUAAGGGUUAGUCUGUUCGACUAUUAAAAUUUUACAUGAGCUGAG
rnacentral:rRNA from 1 species